UACGGAGGGUGCGAGCGUUGUCCGGAAUCACUGGGCGUAAAGGGCGCGUAGGCGGUUCGUUAAGUUGCUGGUGAAAUCCCGGGGCUCAACUCCGGGGCUGCCGGCAAGACUGGCGGGCUAGAGCACGGUAGAGGCGGAUGGAAUUCCCGGUGUAGCGGUGGAAUGCGUAGAUAUCGGGAAGAACACCAAUAGCGAAGGCAGCUCGCUGGGACGGUACUGACGCUGAGGCGCGAAAGCGUGGGGAGCGAACAGG
rnacentral:rRNA from 1 species